UGCGGUAGAGCUACCGAUUAGCGGGUACGGGGUCGAAAGGCCUCCCUCGCUCGUCAAACUCCGAAUGCAUGCGCUGUGUAGACCCCAGGAGUCGGCGGUGUUGGGUAAGCUAGCACCGCGAGACUACAAAGAUAGUGACUAGGGUUAAGGUCCCCAAAUCCUAAUUGAGUGUGUGAAAGGUGGGGAAUGCCGUAGACAGCUGGGAGGUAGGCUCAGAAGCAGCCAUCCUUCAAAAAACGCGUAAUAGCGUACCAGUUGAGGCAUACCUUGCCGAAAAUAUACGGGGCUAAAUUAGGUACCGAGACCCUAGAGUGCGAUAAGCACUGGUAAGGGGGCGUGCGGCAUGGCACGAAGUAUGUUUGGAAGAACAUAUGGACUAUGCCGCAGAGAAUAUCCUGGUGUUAGUAACAGCAAAUAUGGGUGAGAAUCCCAUACACCGUAAGCACACGGUUUUCUUCGCAACGCUCGUCAGCGGAGAGUUAGGCGAUCCUAAGAGGCAGGCCAAU
rnacentral:rRNA from 1 species